rnacentral:rRNA from 1 species
CAGUAGCCGCGGUAAUACGUAGGUGGCAACCGUUGUCCGGAAUUAUUGGGUGUAAAGGGCUCGCAGGCGGUUUCUUAAGUCUGAUGUGAAAGCCCCCGGCUCAACCGGGGAGGGUCAUUGGAAACUGGGAAACUUGAGUGCAGAAGAGGAGAGUGGAAUUCCACGUGUAGCGGUGAAAUGCGUAGAGAUGUGGAGAAACACCAGUGGCGAAGGCGACUCUCUGGUCUGUAACUGACGCUGAGGAGCGAAAGCGUGGGGAGCGAACAGGAUUAGAUACCCCCGUAGUCCCUGUCUCUUAUAC